CACAAUGGGCAAGAACAUAAGCUAGUAACUUACACACUUCCCUAGACUAUGUUACUAUUUCUAUAGUGGGUAGAAAUAUCUAUGUAGUGUCAUGUAACGAUGUAUUUAUUAGGUUAUAGACUCAUUGUUUCUUGAAGUGUGUGAUGUUUCGGUAAUUUAGCUAGUUACCACAAGCACCUCUCUCUUCAUUAAAUAUGUGCCACAUAAGCAAAGUUGUAUUGGAGUGUGUGAUGUUAUUUCUAAGUUCCUCCCCACUGUGACAAGCCUAAAAGAACCGUAAGGUUCCGUUUCCCGUCUUGCGUCGUGCGAUUCGUCAAUUCCUCCACCCAGCCGAUCGCGUUCUCACCCCCACGUUGGUUUUCCGCUGAAAAAAAAAACUGAACGUGAGUCAACGCGAUCUCGCUCUCUCUCGCUCCCAAACGAACCCACGCCAACCCUUUGCCCUGGCCCUACUCCUCCCGAUCUGCUCGCCUCCACAGUCUCGCUACCGAAUCCGGCGCUUUGUGAGAUCGGCAUCCAAAUCCGUCACCAUCGAUGGCGCUUUGUUCCCUCUGCAGCCUGCCACUCGCGAUGGACCGAGCCCGCCGAAGCGGGCGACCAAAGGAUUCGAAGCAGCUUCGCCUUCGACCGUCGAGGAGGGCGUGGGCUUGAGCUCCUGGCAUCCCAGGGGUCGCCGCCGUUGGGCUCGUAUCGUCAGGCCGACGUGGCGCCGAUCUGGUUUUUGAGGUCGGGUGCGGGCAUGCUACAACUCGCGACUCAGAGAGAAGCUUUGGCGAUAAAGACCAGACAACUUUGUUCUCCUGGGAUCACGUCCUCCGACCAUCCAUGGAGUUUUCGGGCAAAGUCUCGGCCUCCAGCACAGGUUCAGCUACACAUCUACGUAACACGUCAACUAUGUAAUACAGUAGUUCUCAAGCACGGUUGGGAAGAAGGGUAUACACAGGAUCAAUUUUGACUAAAUUCUUAAAAAUAUAACACUGAUUGUUCAAUACUUAUUUUUUUCAAGCAUUCAACUUUUGACUAAAUAGAAGAUAGUAGAUAUGAAUGAAUGUUUCGUGAGCAGCUCACUGAAGGAGGUCAAUUAUGAUUUUACCAACAGUUAGAGAUACUUGCUUAUUCUGAAUUCACAGAGUUUCAUUGUUUGUCAAUUUUAUCCACGAGUUUCAUGUAUUUAUAGGCAAUUCGUUUCAAUACUAUGAUUGUGGCUCUCACUAUGCCUAACUGCAUUGGGAGCAUCAUCCUCUUUGAUUGUCUUGCACUGUAGAAUUGUUGUACAGAACAAAUUUAUAGGUGGUAUAAGUUGUUUCUCCUCUUAACUAUGUAUAUAUGGAACAAUGAUCACACAUAUUACCUUGAACUAUAUUCUCUUCACAUUUAUGCAUAUAUUUUCUAGGGAAGAAAAGAAAAUCAGUUAUAGUAUGAGCAGAUAUAUUUCUUCCGAUUUAUGUAUUCUUGCUUGCAGAGAAACAAUGUAGCGAUAAUAAACAGUUUUAUAAAAGCUUAUAUCUUGCAAACUGGAAACAGAAACCCGUGAUCAUUUUUUGUUUUCUGACUUGUAAUGUGGAAUGUGAGAGCUUAUAUACCCACAUAAAACAAGUAGGUGUUCCGAAGUUUUUCAAUGGUGGUCUUGUAUGUCUAAUUAUUGUUGUUGUAGUUGUCAUGUAUAACCAACAAGAUUCUUCUUCAAUUUUUAAUUGGGCUGACUGUCGUUGAGCUUGGAGGAGCCAACCGUGGAGUUGAUGCCACCUUGGCAGACAACGCCUGCGCAGAAUGAGAACGAUGAGGAGCUGGUACUCUGGAGGAGCCAGACCAUGGGGAGGUCCCAAUUUUAUGUAGUUUCUUGGUUGCUAGAAUAUGAAAGGGUUGAAGUAUCGAUCGAGAAAAUAGGUGUCUAAAUAGUACUCCCUCCGUUCCUAAAUGUAAGUCUUUUUAGACAUUUCAAAUAAAAAACAACAUACGGAUGUAUGUAGACAUAUUUUAGAGUGUAGAUUCACUCAUUCUGCUUCGUAUGUAGUCACAUAGUAAAAUAUCUAGAAAGACUUAUAUUUAGGAACGGAGGGAGUACUAAGUAAUUUGUGUGAAAAUUUGACACUCUGGUUUAGGAAUCCGGUUCUGUUUACUUCAUCUUACUAACUUGAGUUUUUGCCGAUCGGUAUAUUCCAUUCAUAGAUAUAUUUAUUUUCCUAUGGUGUAAAUUUAUGGUAUGAUGCAUCAAGGUCUUAGUACAAGGAAUGUUUGUGUCGUCAAUUACUGAUUUUUGCCAUAGUUUGGUGUUUGUUAUCUAAAAAAGGAUUCAGAUGGAUAUAGAGUAUGGGCCUUUAAUUGGCAUCCAAUUAAGCUGCAUGGUUCCCAAUUCGCCUUUGAUCUGUGCGUCCAUAAUCCUUUUAAAGUUUUUUCAUGCAGGUUUUAGCCUCAGUUUGAUGACCAUCAUGUCCAUGCCAGUUGCCAAUCCCUGGCCGUUGUAACACGUUCCAUGUACGACUUGCUUUAUACUGAUUCAGGUUUUGGUGGUUAGUCGCCCUAUGUUGUUUGCAUCAAAAGAGUUCUUGGCAUGGUGAACACGGCAGCAAUUCAUUCUUUGAAGCAGUGAAGCGAUGUAAAAAAAUGUGUGUUGCCUGUUGAGCUACCAUCCGCCAUUUUUUAUAGAAGUGCUCUCAGUUUUUGUUUUUGUGGGAAAAGCACUGAAGUGCUCUUAGUUAUGUAGUAGCACAGAUGUUGCCUACUGAAAGUAGGAGCAAUCAAGUUGUUUUUUCUCUGAAAAGGAGACGAGCCCCUGGCCUGUCCAUCAAAAUGAUGCACACAACCUUCAUUUUGUACCAAAAUAAUAGGAGCAGUCCAAGAUUUGUUGUUUUAAUAUCUGAGUUAACAAAUAAAUAAAUGUUAGUUUAAAUC